rnacentral:rRNA from 1 species
GCAUUGGGGGGGAGAUUAGCCAUGCGAGUCGAGCGUCUCCUAGUUAUGUUGGAGACGCGGCAGACGGCUCAGUAACACGUAGUCAAUCUACCCUUGGGACAGAGAUAACCCCUGGGAAACUGAGGCUAAUACCUGAUAUGUGAACGAUCCUGGAAUGGUCUUUCGCAGAAAAGGCAUCAGAUACAUGCUUCUGAUGUUGCCCAAGGAUGGGACUGCGGCCGAUCAGGUAGUUGGUAAGGUAACGGCUUACCAAGCCUAUAACCGGUACGGGCCCUGAGAGGGGGAGCCCGGAGAUGGGAACUGAGAUAAGGUCCUAGGCCCUACGGGGCGCAGCAGGCGCGAAAACUUCGCAAUGCGCGAAAGCGUGACGAGGUUAUCCCGAGUGCUGUCCGAAAAGGAUGGCUUUUCAUCGAUGUAAAUAGUCGGUGGAAUAAGGGGGAGGCAAGACUGGUGUCAGCCGCCGCGGUAAUACCAGCCCCCCGAGUGGUGGGGAUGAUUAUUUGGCCUAAAGCGUUCGUAGCCGGCUCAGUAAGUCCUCCGUUAAAUCUGACGACUUAAUCGUCAGGCUGCGGGAGAUACUGCUGGGCUAGGAGGCGGAAGAGGUCGACGGUAUUCCAGGGGUAGGGGUGGAAUCCUAUAAUCCUUGGAAGACCACCAGUGGCGAAGGCGGUCGACCAGAACGCGCUCGACGGUGAGGGACGAAAGCUGGGGGAGCGAACCGGAUUAGAUACCCGGGUAGUCCCAGCUGUAAACGAUGCGGGCUAGUGUUUGGGGUGGCUACGAGCCACUUCAGUGCCGCAGGGAAGCCAUUAAGCCCGCCGCCUGGGGAGUACGGCCGCAAGGCUGAAACUUAAAGGAAUUGGCGGGGGAGCACCACAAGGCGUGAAAGGCUGCGGUUUAAUUGGAGUCAACGCCGGGAAUC